CUAUAGUUCAGACAGAAUCCACGUUUAAUUUAAUGUAGAAUCUAACUUGGACCGGUACGUUUGAAAUAUCAUAUAUUUAGUCUGCAAUUCAAUAUAUUUUGUUUAUCUCGACGAACUAUGCAUUUGAGUAUCACUUCAUAUCUGUGGGAAAGUAUACCACAAUAAAUUUUAAUAUUUUAUCUGACAAAGCCAAAGGGGAAUUAGUUUUCAAAAAGAAAUGAAAUUUAAUUAAAACGACGUUGCGCAAUCAAUAUAAACACAACCGCAACAGGUACUACAAUUAAAUUUAAACACAUAUGUUAAUGCUGUCUGUAUUCAAACAAUUGUUACCGAAUUAUACGCGAAGAGUUUUUUUAUUCAAUACGCCAAUAUAUUUAAUGUUUUCACGUGAGAAACUAUAUACGACUGUACGUUUUCAAAAAUUAGUGAGGUG